AACGCAUCUUGCGCUCCUUGGUAUUCCGAGGAGCAUGCCUGUUUGAGUGUCGUGAACUCUCUCAACCCUUCCCUUUCUCUAGGGCUCUCGGGUUGGAUUUGGACGCCUGCCGCGGGUUUUUCAACCUUGCCGGCUCGUCUUGAAAUGCAUCAGCUGGUCCGCCGCAUGAGCUCGGUUCAACAACGGUGUGAUAAGAAACGCUUCGUGUCUGUAGCGCCGUUUUCGCCGACUCUUUGGAGGACUGCUUCCAACCGUCUUAUAUAGGACAAACAUUCACUUCAUCUGACCUCAAAUCAGGUAGGACUACCCGCUGAACUUAA
rnacentral:rRNA from 1 species